rnacentral:misc_RNA from 1 species
UUCAGAAUCGAAUUCCAAGGGCUGGUUAACUAAAAUUAGAGUGUCCAAGCUGGGUAAAUUGAAGCUUGUUCAUCCACUCUCAGAUUACCCAAUCAUGUACUCUCCAUUCACGUUGAACUUGCUGGACUUUCGGUUUUUCGAGUUAAGUAAAGCUUUCAUGCUUAAAUUUCCAUUUGGGAUCCCCCUUUAUGAGGUAAAUAAAGUCGUUUUAUUUCCAAUUUCUGCUAGAUGUAGUAAAUAUGAAAUUUCCAUUCUGGCCAUUUAUCACGAAGGAAAAUUGGGUUAUUGGAAAUACGGAGAUGAAAGUUGGACACUUUUAGAUGAUAAAAAUUUUCAAUAUGAUGAUAUUAUUGAAUAUAAGGGCCAAUUUUAUGU